GACGAACGCUGGCGGCGUGCUUAACACAUGCAAGUCGAACGCUGAAGCUCAGCUUUUGUUGGGUGGAUGAGUGGCGAACGGGUGAGUAACACGUGAGUAACCUGCCUCCUUCUUUGGGAUAACGCCCGGAAACGGGUGCUAAUACUGGAUAUUCACUGGUCUUCGCAUGGGGGUUGGUGGAAAGGGUUUUUCUGGUGGGGGAUGGGCUCGCGGCCUAUCAGCUUGUUGGUGGGGUGAUGGCCUACCAAGGCUUUGACGGGUAGCCGGCCUGAGAGGGUGACCGGUAACAUUGGGACUGAGAUACGGCCCAGACUCCGACGGGGGGCAGCAGUGGGGAAUAUUGCACAAUGGGCGCAAGCAUGAUGCAGCGACGCCGCGUGAGGGAUGGAGGCCUUCGGGUUGUGAACCUCUUUCGCUAAUGGUCAAGCCGCAACAAUGGUUGUGGUGAGGGUAGUGGGUAAAGAAGCGCCGGCUAACUACGUG
rnacentral:rRNA from 1 species